rnacentral:SRP_RNA from 12 species
GCCGGGUGCACUGGCGCGCGCCUGUAAUCCAAGCUGCUGGGAGGCUGAGGCUGGCGGAUCGCUUGAGUUCAGGGGUUCUGGGCUGCAGUGGACUAUGUCGAUCGGGUGUCCGCGCUAAGUUCGGUAUCGAUAUGGUGUUCCUGGGGGAGCUCGGGACCACCAAGUCGUCUAAGGAGGGGUGAACCGGCCCAGGUCGGAGACGGAGCAG